rnacentral:rRNA from 1 species
GAUGAACGCUGGCGGCGUGCCUAACACAUGCAAGUCGAACGGAAAGACACCUUUGGGGGUACUCGAGUGGUGAAGGGGGGCGGAACAGGGGGGUAACCAUCCCUUUACUUUGUGACAAGGUCAAGAAAGUGGGGCUAAUACCGGUAAGGAAUCAUUGCUCCAACGGGGGGGUUCAAAAGCUUCGGCGGUUUUGGGUGGACUCGCGGCGGAUUAGCUAGUUGGCUGGGUAGUGGCUUACCAAGGCGACGAUGCGUAGCCGAGCUGCGUGGGCGACCGGCCACACUGGGACUGAGAGACGGUCCAGACACCGACGGGAGGCAGCAGUGGGGAAUGUUGGCCAAUGUGCGGAAGCCUGAUCCAGCGACGCCGGGUGGGUGAAGAAGGGCUGCGGGUUGGAUAACGCUUUUAUUGUGGAAGAACAAAUGCAGAAGGAUCGAAGCUUGUGGUGACGGUACCUAAAGAAGAAGCACCGGCUAACUACGUG